rnacentral:rRNA from 1 species
GGGCUUGACAUCCCACGAACCUGGAGACAGGUGAAGUCCUUCGGGACGUGGAGACAGGUGGUGCAUGGUUGUCGUCAGCUCGUGUCGUGAGAUGUUGGGUUAAGUCCCGCAACGAGCGCAACCCUUGCUAUUAGUUGCUAACAUUUUGGAUGAGCACUCUAAUGGGACUGCCCGCGUCAAGCUGGAGGAAGGCG